CCUUGAGCAUGGACAGCCUGGAUCUGCUGGGUGAAGGGAGAAGUUAUGUCCAGGGUGGGACAGAGAGGAUGGCGAGAGAUUUCCUCACUACUCAGAACAGCGGGAAAUUCAAAACUUAGGGAUUAUUUCUGAAAUUUUCCAUUUAAAAUUGACCAAGUGUAACUGAAACCAGAGAAAGCAAGACUGACGAUAAGGGAGGGGCCUCCUGUACUCCAAGAGCACUGAAUCUGGAAAAACUCAACACAUCGAUGGAGUCAUAUAUUUAAUUUUUUCUUAAAAGCCACCUGUGGGGUAUUGUAGAAACGCUGCGCUGCCUAUCACAGCUUGUGAUGUGACACGUUCAUUCUGCAAGUUUAAACUUCGCCUAGCAAAUCUUUAUGAGCAUCUACUAUGCAUCAUGCUGUUCUCGUGAACAAAACAAGAUCCAUAUCCUAAGGGAGUGUGCCUUCCAGCAGAGAAAGACGGCAAUGUGUAAGGAGCGUCAGAAGAAGAUGUUGUCUUUUGUGUGUAGAAAGUGCAAAGAGCUCCUGGGAAGGUGCUGCUGGAUGCAGUUUGCAACCACCUCAACCUCGUGGAAGGUGACUAUUUUGGCCUCGAGUUUCCUGAUCACAAAAAGAUCACGGUGUGGCUGGAUCUCCUAAAACCCAUUGUGAAACAGAUUAGAAGGCCAAAGCAUGUUGUUGUUAAGUUUGUGGUGAAAUUCUUUCCGCCUGACCACACACAACUCCAAGAAGAACUCACAAGGUACCUGUUCGCGCUGCAGGUGAAGCAGGACUUGGCUCAAGGCAGGUUGACGUGUAAUGACACCAGCGCAGCUCUCUUGAUUUCACACAUUGUGCAAU
rnacentral:sRNA from 1 species